AGAGUUUGAUCAUGGCUCAGGAUGAACGCUAGCUACAGGCUUAACACAUGCAAGUCGAGGGGCAGCAUGGGGUUUGCUUGCAAACCCUGAUGGCGACCGGCGCACGGGUGAGUAACGCGUAUCCAACCUUCCCGUCACUCGGGGACAGCCCAGCGAAAGCUGGAUUAACCCCCGAUGUUGUCAUAUGAUAGCAUUAGAGUGUGACGAAAGGCUAACGGUGACGGAUGGGGAUGCGUCUGAUUAGGUAGUAGGCGGGGUAACGGCCCACCUAGCCGACGAUCAGUAGGGGUUCUGAGAGGAAGGUCCCCCACAUUGGAACUGAGACACGGUCCAAACUCCUACGGGAGACAGCAGUGAGGAAUAUUGGUCAAUGGGGAGAGCCUGAACCAGCCAAGUAGCGUGCAGGAAGACGGCCCUACGGGUUGUAAACUGCUUUUAUGAAGGAAUAAAGUCACCCACGUGUGGGUGUUUGCAUGUACUUUAUGAAUGAGGACCGGCUAAUUCCGUGCCAGCAGCCGCGGUAAUACGGAAGGUCCGGGCGUUAUCCGGAUUUAUUGGGUUUAAAGGGAGCGUAGGCCGCCUGGUAAGCGUGUUGUGAAAUGUCGUUGCUCAACAACGUCACUGCAGCGCGAACUGCCGGGCUUGAGUGUGCGGAAAGCGGGCGGAAUUUGUGGUGUAGCGGUGAAAUGCUUAGAUAUCACGAAGAACUCCGAUUGCGAAGGCAGCUCGCUGUAGCAUUACUGACGCUGAAGCUCGAAGGUGCGGGUAUCGAACAGGAUUAGAUACCCUGGUAGUCCGCACGGUAAACGAUGGAUGCUCGCUGUUCGGCCUGUGGGCCGUGUGGCCAAGCGA
rnacentral:rRNA from 1 species